rnacentral:rRNA from 1 species
UACGUAGGGGGCGAGCGUUGUCCGAAGUCACUGGGCGUAAAGCGCGCGUAGGCGGGGGAUUAAGUGAGAAGUGAAAGGCUGGGGCUCAACCUCAUGCAGUGCUUCUCAUACUGGUCCUCUUGAGGGCGGUAGGGAGAAGUGGAAUGGCUGGUGUAGCGGUGAAAUGCGUAGAUAUCAGGAGGAACACCGGUGGCGAAGGCGGGUCUCUGGGCCGAUACUGACGCUGAGGAGCGAAAGCGUGGGGAGCGAACAGG